GAUGAACGCUGGCGGCGUGCCUAAUACAUGCAAGUCGAGCGAACAGACGAGGAGCUUGCUCCUCUGACGUUAGCGGCGGACGGGUGAGUAACACGUGGAUAACUUACCUAUAAGACUGGGAUAACUUCGGGAAACCGGAGCUAAUACCGGAUAAUAUAUUGAACCGCAUGGUUCAAUAGUGAAAGACGGUUUUGCUGUCACUUAUAGAUGGAUCCGCGCCGCAUUAGCUAGUUGGUAAGGUAACGGCUUACCAAGGCAACGAUGCGUAGCCGACCUGAGAGGGUGAUCGGCCACACUGGAACUGAGACACGGUCCUGACUCCUACGGGAGGCAGCAGUAGGGAAUCUUCCGCAAUGGGCGAAAGCCUGACGGAGCAACGCCGCGUGAGUGAUGAAGGUCUUCGGAUCGUAAAACUCUGUUAUUAGGGAAGAACAAAUGUGUAAGUAACUAUGCACGUCUUGACGGUACCUAAUCAGAAAGCCACGGCUAACUACGUG
rnacentral:rRNA from 1 species